GCGUACAUCCAUGGGGCUGCUCUUCCGGUGUUCUUCGUUUUGUUUGGACGCAUGAUAGAUCCUUUAGGACAUAUGCCUUCCGAUCCUCACAAAUUGUCUGCUCGUGUUUCUAAGCAUGCUUUGUACUUGGUCUACCUUGGUCUUGUUGUUUUCGCAUCGGCUGGAUAGGUGUUGCGUUCUGGAUGCAAACCGGGGAGAGACAGACGACCCGUUUGCAUCUGAAAUAUCUUCAGUCGGUUUUGAGAAAAGAUAUAAGCUACUUUGACACUGAAG